GCCACAGAGCCUCUCCAGUCAGCUGUUAGCUGCUGUCUGCCCUUGGAGAUUUCAGAAUGAGGACCAGGCAGGUAUUCAAACCAGAGCCUGGAGUGCCUUUACUCAGGGACUGGCCCUCUUGCCUCAGGACCUGGGGUUUAGAGGGACAGGGGUCCACCUGGUCCUCUGCUGAAAAAUGAGCAGAAAAUAUACACACAGAAACUUUUAAAAAUAGUUUUAGAGUUUCAUAGACCCUCCUGAAGCCGUAGGCUCCCUCUAGGCUUGGAGGUUGAGCCCCGAUCCCUCAUAACUUCUCUAUCACCACCAGCUGUCAUCAAGGAUGUCUCCCUAGAAGGAACACCUGUGAAAUGGAAGUUUUUCUUCUCCCCACCUGAAAAAUUUAUCCUGCCCUCUCUGCAAAGCUACCCUUUGAGAUCUCUCCACCCUCCGGGCAGUACUGAUGAGUCACCCAAACUUCAGGGCCUUGGUUUCCUUCACUCUAAGAGGAUAAAGUCACUGGACCAGAGAGAGUUGAGUCCUGGCUCUAAAGCUCUCCAGGACCAAUGACUGGAAGAGCUGCGUGCCCCGCCAGGCCUGGUUCCCGCGGGCAGAGUCUGUCUCCCUGCGCGCCAGCGCCCAGCCCGA